rnacentral:rRNA from 1 species
GCUGGAUGUGGACUUGGACUCUGUCGUGUUACAGYGACUGGUCUGAAAUGCCUGAGUGCACCCUGCUGUUGCAGCGUCUUCAGUGUGAUAAGCAUCUUCACUGAUUCAAGUUCCUUYGGGACACGUAGCAUUGUGGGCUCUGUGCUGACGAACCGUCUUUGGACAAUCUUUGACAAUUUGACCUCAAAUCGGGUGGGACUACCCGCUGAACUUAAGCAUAUCAAUAAGCGGAGGAAAAGAAACUAACAAGGAUUCCCCUAGUAACGGCGAGUGAAGAGGGAAAAGCUCAAAUUUUGAAUCUGGUGUCUUUGGCGCCCGAGUUGUAAUCUAGAGAAGUGUUUUCUGCCUCGGACCACACAUAAAUUCCCUGGAAUGGGGUGUCAUAGAGGGUGAGAAUCCCGUUUGUGGUGUGGACUACCUUGGCUCUGUGAUACACUCUCAACGAGUCGAGUUGUUUGGGAAUGCAGCUCAAAAUGGGUGGUAAAUUCCAUCUAAAGCUAAAUAUUGGCGAGAGACCGAUAGCGAACAAGUACCGUGAGGGAAAGAUGAAAAGCACUUUGGAAAGAGAGUGAAACAGUACGUGAAAUUGUUGAAAGGGAAGCGUUUGAAGUCAGUCACAUCGGUCGGAAUUCAGCCUGGCUUUGCCUGGUGUACUUUUUGGCAGAUGGGUCAGCGUCAAUUUUGACUGAGGGAAAAAGACUUGAGGAAUGUGGCUGUCUUCGGGCAGUGUUAUAGCCUCUUGUUGUAUGUCUCAGUUGGGAUUGAGGACCGCAGCACGCCUUAUGGCCGGGGUUCGCGCCCUCGGAACGUGCUUAGGACGCUGGCAUAAUGGCUUUAAGCGACC